rnacentral:rRNA from 1 species
AGAUUGAACGCUGGCGGCAUGCCUUACACAUGCAAGUCGAACGGCAGCACGGGAGCAAUCCUGGUGGCGAGUGGCGAAACGGGUGAGUAAUAUAUCGGAACGUGCCCAGUCGUGGGGGAUAACGCAGCGAAAGCUGUGCUAAUACCGCAUACGAUCUAUGGAUGAAAGCGGGGGAUCGCAAGACCUCGCGCGAUUGGAGCGGCCGAUAUCAGAUUACGCUAGUGGUGGGGUAAAAGCCUACCAAGGCGACGAUCGUGUAGCUGGUCUGAGAGGACGACCAGCCACGACUGGGACUGAGACGACGGCCAGACUCCUAGGGAGG